rnacentral:rRNA from 1 species
GUGCCAGCAGCCGCGGUAAUACGUAGGGUGCAAGCGUUAUCCGGAAUUAUUGGGCGUAAAGAGCUCGUAGGCGGUUUGUCGCGUCUGCUGUGAAAACUGGGGGCUCAACCCCCAGCCUGCAGUGGGUACGGGCAGACUAGAGUGCGGUAGGGGAGAUUGGAAUUCCUGGUGUAGCGGUGGAAUGCGCAGAUAUCAGGAGGAACACCAAUGGCGAAGGCAGAUCUCUGGGCCGUUACUGACGCUGAGGAGCGAAAGCAUGGGGAGCGAACAGGAUUAGAUACCCUGGUAGUCCAUGCCGUAAACGUUGGGAACUAGAUGUAGGGGCCAUUCCACGGUUUCUGUGUCGCAGCUAACGCAUUAAGUUCCCCGCCUGGGGAGUACGGCCGCAAGGCUAAAACUCAAAGGAAUUGACGG